CAAUAGCGUAUAUUUAAGUUGUUGCAGUUAAAAAGCUCGUAGUUGGAUUUCGGUUAAGAGCGACCGGUCCGCCGUUUGGUGUGCACUGGUUGGUUUUAACUUCCUGUAGAGGACGUGCUCUGGGUUUAACGACCUGGACUCGGAGUCUACGUGGUUACUUUGAAAAAAUUAGAGUGUUCAAAGCGGGCUUACGCUUGAAUAUUUCAGCAUGGAAUAACACUAUAGGACUCCUGUCCUAUUUCGUUGGUCUCGGGACGGGAGUAAUGAUUAAGAGGAACAGUUGGGGGCAUUCGUAUUUCAUUGUCAGAGGUGAAAUUCUUGGAUUUAUGAAAGACGAACUUCUGCGAAGCAUUUGCCAAGGAUGUUUUCAUUAA
rnacentral:rRNA from 1 species